rnacentral:misc_RNA from 1 species
GACCCUGGUAGCAUGUUGUGGCCUGCACAAAGAAUUCAAAAUGGAAAAGUUGUUGAGGCAAACAAUACAAUUAAAAUACAGUACAAUAUGUAAACACUACAUGUUUAGGCAAGGGAAAUAAGUAAAAUGCAUUAUUAGAUUUUGAUGAGAACUAGAGAAAUGCGAUUUUUUUUUUUUUCAAAUAGUGCUUAUCAAACAAUUAGAAUUCCCACAUUAAAAAUUUCUAAGUUGACAGAUUAUGAGAGAGCUAAGUGGCAAUGUGAAGUAUUUUUUACAGAUAGUUUGGAGUUGGAAGCCUAGAACAAUAAUUUGAUGAUUUACAAUUGCCAAACUGGAAACUUAUCCCAUAUCCAGAUUGAAGCACAGCUAAAGGCGGGCUCAGCCAACCCAGUAUAAAUCCCAGUUAAAAUAUUUUAAGUUUAUCCUAAUGAGUUGGUACAAUUCACUACAGAAUUAUGAUACUAAUACUACCGUCACGCAACAUUGGCAGCGAAAAGAUCAAGAUAAUAUUGAUGAUGACAGUUAUUUGAUAUAAACUAUUCUUUGAAAUAUAUAAGAAGGAAAAAUAUUUCAGUUGACACAUGCAUACCCAUAAAAUCCUUCAGUUGAAUCAUCCCCAGCAUGUGCUAGAAUGGCAUCACCACCAGGGUGUUCUUCUACAUAUGAGGUAACAUCAUACACCUUUUCCUUGAUAAUGAUCCAACAGUUGGUUCUCUUGUUAUGCAGAGAUACUUCGGCUUUACUGUAAACUUUGGAUGCCUAAGAAAAAGAAAUAGUUUAUUGAAAACAUAAAGAGUACACAAGUUGGAUAAAUGCUAUUGGAAGAAAGUAAUAGAACCGAAUAACAUCUUCACUUUGUAGGUCCUUUGUCCAUCCCAUCAGUCUUUGAAACAUAAUAAAGUCAUGAUACCUAGUCACUUAUAGUAACAAAUCUACAGUAACAUAUCAGCAACCAAUUUGCAAGAAUGAAAAGUGCAUAGUCCUUAAUAUGUAUUAAAUGUGGUCAUCAAAAUAUGCAGUGUAGAUAAUCAUAAAUAAUUAACUUUAUAUGCAUCAACAUAAGCAGGCUAUGCCCUCUCUCUAUGUCCUCUUUCCAGCUUGCUCUCUCCGAUUCUCCUCUUGGUGAUAGAAAGAAAACAUAGAUUCUUUAUGGUCAAUGAGCAGCUAGUCUAUGAUUAAGAAGUCAGUUCCUCGAAAAUGUGCUCAGUGUGAAGAAAGAGAGCUUUGGGCAAAAAAAGUAUGGAUCAAGGCAUCAAGCUCUAAAAGCAUGCACGUAUCCAGAAUUUGGAAUGCAAAUUGUGAAUUAACAACAAUCCAAGAAGCAUCAACUUUGAACUAAAUAAAAAAGGACCACAUCACUUAUCCUUUAUGAGACUGAUGAUUACAUAAAUUCUAACAGUCGUAAAAUCUCUGGGAGUUCAGAGUACAAAAUAUUUCAGUCCAAAGUUUGUGUUCCAACUCAACUCAACUAAGC